rfam:Clostridiales bacterium CHKCI006 isolate CHKC6 genome assembly, contig: {contig2}
AUAAAAGCAAUGACGUGAACAAGCAUUUUGCCCCUGUCCUACAGAGAGGUUCUGGCUGGUGAGAAGAAUCGGAGAGAGAAAUGCGCAUCAUCACUGAGCUGAAUGUCGAAUCAAGUAGGCAUUUCCGGGUACACCCGUUAACGUGUUAGAGUAUGAACAUCUUGAAUGAUGCGUACUUAAUGAGGUCUGUCUUGUGAGGGACAGAUAAAAAGAGGUGGUACCACGAAGCAUAAGGCUCUUGUCCUCUUU